CGAAUAUUUUCGCCCAUUGAGAAAUACUAGCGCCGGCCCUCCCACGACCAGAUCCACAACACGCCACCCCCAAAUCCCCUGCAUCCAGCAGAUCCCCCGCCGCCGCCGCCCCGAAACCUAGCUAGUUCGUGCACCGCGCAGCCGCCUCUGCGCUCGACCACCGCGCGCCAGCGUAGCUCCCCUUCCCCCACCGCUGGCGUAGCCCCUCACCACCGCAGCUCCUCUGCCGCCGCGCACGCCAAUCCGCCCUCCACUGGACCGCAAGCCGCCGCCCCCAACUAUCCACCACCGGCGGAGGCCCUCCAACCAGCAAACCGCUACCACCGUCGCCCCCCCCCCCCCCCCCCCCCCCCCCCCCCCCCCCCCCCCCCCCCCCCCCCCCCCCCCCCCCCCCCCAUCAUGAGUGGCAGACACUCCGCCCCUCCGCCGCCCCAAGAUCCACUGCAUCCUGCUGCCGUGGUCACCCCACUCCAGAGCGGCACCUCCGAGCACCCCGUCGGCCACCAUCGUCAUCGCCAAGCCACACCACCGGCGGACACCAUCCUCCGUGGAAGGGCUUCGUCGCAGCAAGUACGUACUACGCUCGUGCACUUCCUCCCCGAGUAGGCUUCACCAAGCAUCAAGUGACAGGUCCGCCUCCUCCACAAGCCCCCAAACCAGCAGACCACGUGUUGGCCCUCCUCUCCAGCGAGCAGAUUUGCCUGCUGAACAUCCUUUCCCUGGACAUCGCUGCCUCCUGUACUUCAUUGGACAGGUUUCCCAAAGGUACACAAGUCGAUGAAGGUUUGGAAGAUUUUCAAACUCCUGAAGAUUUGGAAUACCUACAACAGUUGGUGGAGUGAUUAUGUAAUAUGCUUGUUUAGUUUGUGAAACCUGGACACUUGCUCCACUCCUUUUGCUGGUUGUUAAGCCACUGUGCUCAUUUUGGUUGUGUGGCACACCCAGAAACAUGUACUUCCCCACUUGUUGCACUAUUUCAUUUUGUUGGUUGUGUGGCACAUUUUAAAACAUAUAUAUAUUAUGGUUGUUAAUUAUGUUCA